AUGCUCUUUGGCAGUACAUAUACUAAAACUGGAAUGAUACAAAAUAUUAGCAUGACUCCUACACAAGGAUGGCAUGCAAAUUCAUGAUGUGCUCCAUACAUUU